rnacentral:rRNA from 1 species
GAGUUUGAUCGUGGCUCAGAUUGAACGCUGGCGGCAUGCCUUACACAUGCAAGUCGAACGGCAGCGCGGGCAACCUGGCGGCGAGUGGCGAACGGGUGAGUAAUAUAUCGGAACGUACCCUGGAGUGGGGGAUAACGUAGCGAAAGUUACGCUAAUACCGCAUACGAUCUAAGGAUGAAAGUGGGGGCUUCGCAAGAACCUCAUGCUCCUGGAGCGGCCGAUAUCUGAUUAGCUAGUUGGUGGGGUAAAGGCCCACCAAGGCUUCGAUCAGUAGCUGGUCUGAGAGGACGACCAGCCACACUGGAACUGAGACACGGUCCAGACUCCUACGGGAGGCGAGCAGUGGGAAUUUUGGACAAUGGCGCAAGCCUGAUCCAGCAAUGCCGCGUGAGUGAAGAAGGCCUCGGUUGUAAGUACG